rnacentral:rRNA from 1 species
CCCUUCGGGCUUUCUGCAAGGUGCUGCAUGGUUGUCGUCAGCUCGUGCCGUGAGGUGUCGGGUUAAGUCCCAUAACGAGCGCAACCCUUAUCGUUAGUUGCCAUCUGGUAAUGCAGGGGACUCUAGCGAAACUGCCACCGUAAGGUGAGAGGAAGGUGGGGAUGACGUCAAAUCAGCACGGCCCUUAUGUCCAGGGCUACACACGUGUUACAAUGGUCGGUACAGAGGGCAGCUACCUGGUGACAGGAUGCUAAUCUCGAAAACCGGUCUCAGUUCGGAUCGAAGUCUGCAACUCGACUUCGUGAAGCUGGAUUCGCUAGUAAUCGCGCAUCAGCUAUGGCGCGGUGAAUACGUUCCCGGGCCUU